rnacentral:rRNA from 1 species
AUGUGGUGGUGCCGGCGGCUCGCUGAUAUGCCGGUACUCCAGGGUCGGCCUGGUGGUGCUGGUGGUGACGGCGGCCCGGGUACAAGAGUUGGAUCCCUUCGAACUGAUCUGGGUGAAAACUUGCCUUCGGCUCCUGCUAAGGCCGGCGGUGGCGGCGCUAUCUGCGUCGUUCCCUUCUUGAAGGCAUCGCCAUGGAGAAGUUCAAGGCCACUCUCUGGUACCUCCGGGGGAAACCCCAGAUCGGAUGAUCAGAUGACGGCGGAGCUCUGGUGUCGUUCCUCCCUUGGGGGCGUCAUUCUUGGAGGUACACACGUGAUCGAGGGACCAGAGGACGGAUUCUUUGGUGGAGCGGUGCUUCAUCCUACACACUGA